UUCAAUCCCCUUUUCAUUGCUCUGGCAUUUCGAUUUGGUGCAUCAGUAACGUGUAUAUUAUAUAUUGCUACUUUCAAAAUGCAUAUAUCUCCUCUGUGACUGUAUAAAAUGUUAUGUAGAAUUGUGCAACAUUUUUUCAGAUUCCUAGAUAGCUUAGAGAUAGGAUGUUUUAAAUGUGUGUUAAGAUUUCGCAUAACAUAAUGUCUUUGCCGAGAGCCACGUCCAGAUUACACAUUUUGUAUGUAAAGUUGCGUAAGAUAUCGAAGAUUUAGAAGAAUUAUUGCCCAAAAACGUUUUUGUGUCAUCCACUGUCCAGAUUCCGUAAGGAAGAGGAUUUCAUUACAUCUUCGAUACUCGAGGCGUUCAGAUCUCUCUCUCUCUCUCUCCCUCGACAUCCUUGAGAUUAUAUUAACGUAACGUAAAUUGGUCACUCGUAACUUGAGAAUUUCAUAUUUGAUAUUUCUUAGAGUUUAUUUAGUGUUAAAUAGUGUUUUUUGUGGAAUCUGAACAAGCAUUGUUGUUGUAACGGCGCCUGGUUUUUGUGAAAGUGUAAAACACGACAGCAGCAAAGAAAGAAGUUGGUAUACCAAAAAGACGGAUCUGGAAAUGCCGGGGGACAAAGAGUUCCCGGAGGGGUGUGGACUUUCUUUGGUGACUUGACAUUGUACUUUUUUUUUGAGUUAGUCUGUAAGACUGGAUUACUUGGUUAAUUGAUUUAUUUAUUCUUGUUAAUAAACGCUAAUGUUAUGA